CUUGAAAUUUUUGGAAAGAGAUUCAACUAUGAAGCUACCAAGGUUCCAACAAAACCCUACACCUCCUUUCAAAACAGUAGUCGAAGCUAGAGCCCACCAAAACAUCAAUAAAGACUGGGGUGGUUGAGACGUAGAUUGAGGUGUCCACGUACUCCUAUCUUUUGGGUAGGUACUUUCACAUUCAGUAGUCAUAUCUCCCAUUCAAAGUCACUCUGCUGACGGUUAAGGUCUAACCAUGUGUAUAUGAAUACUUGGUGUGAAAUAUUAAGAAUCAUUUGUCACUCUAUCUAUAAAUAUAUAGGUGGAUGAUGCCAUUAUGAAUGUAUGAUUGAGUUUUAUGAAUUGUUUU